UACCAAAUACACACCGUACAACUCGACACAAGCUCUUGUUCAAUGUGAUACUUAGUACCCUUAUACAACAUAAACUAGCAAUAAAAGUUUAAAUUUAACUGUGCACUUUGAACAGAGAAUAUUUUAAUUCUCGAAAGGUUAUCCAUUUGUAAUAGCUUCAUCUAUGGUAGUCAGGUUAUGAGUUAAUCGCAUGUAAUUCUUAAUAUCACCGAGAUAUGCGACGGGGAUGAUGAAAUUUGUCUAGUUUGCGCUCGGUGGCGGAAAGUGGAACGAAGCCAAGUCGAGAGAACAUGCGGUCACCCACAACGCCAUGCACACGGCCAGCGAUGAUGUCGCCGCCGACACCGCCGCCUGCCUCAAUUCGUCCGGCCGAUGCGCGCAAACAUUUACUUCCCACAAGCAUAAUAACGUCAUAUUACCGUGCGGCGACAUGUCCACACUCGUUCGCGAUGCCCCAGACACGCGCACUUGUUGGCACCGAACCGGAUUAAUACAGAUAUACCGUACACCCACAAAGUGCAAGCGAAUUGUGAAUGACACGGUCAAUUUAAUCAGCAUCACUCAGAGCUUAUACACCACUCGCGGAUUUUACACAUUAUGCCUGCUGAUGAUGUGGAUGAUUCAUUUCUGAAGCGAAAAUUGGAGCACGCACCUGCGCGGCUGGUGGGAAACGUCCACCGGUUUGAGUGACAGUAAAUAACGUGUUCGAUUGAGGGUAGACGCUUGAGCAUCUGAUGCAUUAAUCUGCACUUGCUCUUAUCGGCGGAACUCGUGUCUGCCGUCAUGUGCCCAAGGCGACGAUGAUGUGCACUUUAUAUUGUGAUUAAUGGAAACGAUUUUCUAUAGCGGACAUUUAUGCUGUAAUCCAUUUAGCGUAAUUUAUUGCAAUAUUGGUGUACCGCUCAACUAACUUCGUUGAAUACAUUUGUGAAGCGGUG